rnacentral:lncRNA from 1 species
AAAUAUUUACAAACAAGAAAUUAUACUCAAGGAAAUAUAUGAUUACAGACAUAGCCACCAAAAUCAUUACAUUACAUGUUAAAUGAACUAUUAGUUACAAUGGUAGCCACUCUAGUCUUAGAGCCUAAUUUACUAUACAGUCACAUUAGCUCUUUAUAUAAUGGCCACUCUUAAGUUAACGAUCACAUCCAUCUUCAAUUGCAACCAGGCUUGCAAAGGAAUAGCCACGAAGCUAUCCUUACAAGCCCAUCCACUCAAAGCAGUCUCUUUUGCAAGCUAGCACCAACAAGAAUGAAUUAAACUGCAAAUUUAAGGCAAAUAAAGAUUGUAUUAGAAAGUUUAAACAUUGAUUCCUUGCUUCAAAUGUGCAGAUCUAACCAAUCAGUGGUCAGAGCCUAAACAACUUACACGUAUGCAUAGACUUCAAUCAAGGCUAAAAUUCAAACCUCUAACGUGAUACUGAAUAUAGAAACACUUGGCAGUAAUUUCAACACCUAUUUAACGAUAUAUAGAUCCAGACAUUCAUCAACAUAUUACGAAUUUAACACUUAUCAGCGGAUAUUCAAGUAGACAUUGCACUAUCAAAUUAUUCUUCAUUCACAAAAGUAAGCUGACUAUACAUUAAGUGGGAAAGAGUACCAUAAAAUGCAGAACACAAAUGAAAAUAACAGCCAGAUGUGAAGGCUAAUAGGAAUGGGGAUCAGCAACAACAAGAACAGUAGAAAACUUCAGCUUAAAAACCUCAGAAUAACCAGUAAUUUGACCCAGUGAAAUCAGCAAACCAUACUCACAAGACAAUUAGCUUUCUCUAAUUUUUCUUUUGUAGCUUUCAAUAUCUUAAAGAAAGAAUUUUAUUGAGCUAUUGAUUUCUGCUUUUCCUUAUUUUUUUCAGAGAAUUGUGACUGCUAAGAACUCUCAAAAAACCUAUGUUAUUUGAGAAUCCUUUUAUGCCCCAGAAAAAUCUCUCAAGAGGAAUCCUAAGUUCAGUAAACUAAUCGACUAAGAAUAGCUUCCUCUUAAUUUUUCUUUAUUCCCCUUUUUAUCCUCAAAUUAGAGAAUCCUAUGUGUACUAGCCAAUUAGGAUGUCCCAGGCUCCUUCCUAGCAAUUUCCU